AUUGAACGCUGGCGGCAGGCCUAACACAUGCAAGUCGAGCGGAUGAGUGGAGCUUGCUCCAUGAUUCAGCGGCGGACGGGUGAGUAAUGCCUAGGAAUCUGCCUAUUAGUGGGGGACAACGUUUCGAAAGGAACGCUAAUACCGCAUACGUCCUACGGGAGAAAGCAGGGGACCUUCGGGCCUUGCGCUAUUAGAUGAGCCUAGGUCGGAUUAGCUAGUUGGUGAGGUAAUGACUCACCAAGGCGACGAUCCGUAACUGGUCUGAGAGGAUGAUCAGUCACACUGGAACUGAGACACGGUCCAGACUCCUACGGGAGGCAGCAGUGGGGAAUAUUGGACAAUGGGCGAAAGCCUGAUCCAGCCAUGCCGCGUGUGUGAAGAAGGUCUUCGGAUUGUAAAGCACUUUAAGUUGGGAGGAAGGGUUGUACGUUAAUACCGUGCAAUUUUGACGUUACCGACAGAAUAAGCACCGGCUAACUCUGUGCCAGCCGCCGCAGUAA
rnacentral:rRNA from 1 species